AGUUGGUGGAGCGAUUUGUCUGGUUUAUUCCGAUAACGAACGAGACUCUGGCCUACUAAAUAGUGGGCGGAUUCUUUCUGUCCGCAACACUUCUUAGAGGGACAAGCGGUGUUCAGCCGCACGAGAUUGAGCAAUAACAGGU
rnacentral:rRNA from 1 species